rnacentral:rRNA from 1 species
UAGAGCACUGAUUGGACUAGGGGUCCUCAUCGGAUUACCGAAUUCAGUCAAACUCCGAAUGCCAAUGACUUAUCCUUAGGAGUCAGACUGCGAGUGAUAAGAUCCGUAGUCAAAAGGGAAACAGCCCAGACCGCCAGCUAAGGUCCCAAAGUGUGUAUUAAGUGGAAAAGGAUGUGGAGUUGCUUAGACAACUAGGAUGUUGGCUUAGAAGCAGCCACCAUUUAAAGAGUGCGUAAUAGCUCACUAGUCGAGUGACUCUGCGCCGAAAAUGUACCGGGGCUAAAUACACCACCGAAGCUGCGGAUUGAUACCGAAUGGUAUCAGUGGUAGGGGAGCGUUCUAAGGACAGUGAAGUCAGACCGGAAGGACUGGUGGAGUGCUUAGAAGUGAGAAUGCCGGUAUGAGUAGCGAAAGACGGGUGAGAAUCCCGUCCACCGAAUGCCUAAGGUUUCCUGAGGAAGGCUCGUCCGCUCAGGGUUAGUCAGGACCUAAGCCGAGGCCGACAGGCGUAGGCGAUGGACAACAGGUUGAUAUUCCUGUACCACCUCUUUAUCGUUUGAGCAAUGGAGGGACGCAGAAGGAUAGAAGAAGCGUGCGAUUGGUUGUGCACGUCCAAGCAGUUAGGCUGAUAAGUAGGCAAAUCCGCUUAUCGUGAAGGCUGAGCUGUGAUGGGGAAGCUCCUUAUGGAGCGAAGUCUUUGAUUCCCCGCUGCCAAGAAAAGCUUCUAGCGAGAUAAAAGGUGCCUGUACCGCAAACCGACACAGGUAGGCGAGGAGAGAAUCCUAAGGUGUGCGAGAGAACUCUGGUUAAGGAACUCGGCAAAAUGACCCCGUAACUUCGGGAGAAGGGGUGCUUUCUUAACGGAAAGCCGCAGUGAAUAGGCCCAAGCGACUGUUUAGCAAAAACACAGCUCUCUGCGAAGCCGUAAGGCGAAGUAUAGGGGGUGACACCUGCCCGGUGCUGGAAGGUUAAGGAGAGGGGUUAGCGUAAGCGAAGCUCUGAACUGAAGCCCCAGUAAACGGCGGCCGUAACUAUAACGGUCCUAAGGUAGCGAAAUUYCUUGUCGGGUAAGUUCCGACCCGCAMGAAAGGUGUAACGAUUUGGGCACUGUCUCAACCAGAGACUCGGUGAAAUUAUAGUACCUGUGAAGAUGCAGGUUACCCGCGACAGGACGGAAAGACCCCGUGGAGCUUUACUGUAGCCUGAUAUUGAAUUUUGGUACAGUUUGUACAGGAUAGGCGGGAGCCAUUGAAACCGGAGCGCUAGCUUCGGUGGAGGCGCUGGUGGGAUACCGCCCUGACUGUAUUGAAAUUCUAACCUACGGGUCUUAUCGACCCGGGAGACAGUGUCAGGUGGGCAGUUUGACUGGGGCGGUCGCCUCCUAAAGUGUAACGGAGGCGCCCAAAGGUUCCCUCAGAAUGGUUGGAAAUCAUUCGUAGAGUGCAAAGGCAUAAGGGAGCUUGACUGCGAGACCUACAAGUCGAGCAGGGACGAAAGUCGGGCUUAGUGAUCCGGUGGUUCCGCAUGGAAGGGCCAUCGCUCAACGGAUAAAAGCUACCCCGGGGAUAACAGGCUUAUCUCCCCCAAGAGUCCACAUCGACGGGGAGGUUUGGCACCUCGAUGUCGGCUCAUCGCAUCCUGGGGCUGUAGUCGGUCCCAAGGGUUGGGCUGUUCGCCCAUUAAAGCGGUACGCGAGCUGGGUUCAGAACGUCGUGAGACAGUUCGGUCCCUAUCCGUCGUGGGCGUAGGAAAUUUGAGAGGAGCUGUCCUUAGUACGAGAGGACCGGGAUGGACGCACCGCUGGUGUACCAGUUGUUCUGCCAAGGGCAUAGCUGGGUAGCUAUGUGCGGAAGGGAUAAGUGCUGAAAGCAUCUAAGCAUGAAGCCCCCCUCAAGAUGAGAUUUCCCAUAGCGUAAGCUAGUAAGAUCCCUGAAAGAUGAUCAGGUUGAUAGGUUCGAGGUGGAAGCAUGGUGACAUGUGGAGCUGACGAAUACUAAUAGAUCGAGGACUUAACCAU